CAAACCACCCUAAACACAUUUCAUCUCACCUGAUUUUGAAAGCCUAGAAAGUUUGGACUUGGUCUGUACUUGGAUGGGAGACCACCAGGGAAUACCAGUU
rnacentral:rRNA from 1 species